GACGAACGCUGGCGGCGUGCUUAACACAUGCAAGUCGAACGGAAAGGCCCUGCUUUUGUGGGGUGCUCGAGUGGCGAACGGGUGAGUAACACGUGAGUAAAAUGCCCUUGACUUUGGGAUAACUUCAGGAAACUGGGGCUCAUACCGGAUAGGAGCUCCUGCUGCAUGGUGGGGGAUGGAAAGUUUCGGCGGUUGGGGAUGGACUAGCGGCUUAUCCGCUUGUUGGUGGGGUAGUGGAUUACCAAGGCUUUGACGGGUAGCCGGCCUGAGAGGGUGACCGGCCACAUUGGGACUGAGAUACGGCGCAGACUCCUACGGGAGGCAGCAGUGGGGAAUAUUGCACAAUGGGCGGAAGCCUGAUGCAGCAACGCCGCGUGCGGGAUGACGGCCUUCGGGUGGUAAACCGCUGUCGCCUGUGACGAAGCGUGAGUGACGGUAAUGGGUAAAGAAGCACCGGCUAACUACGUG
rnacentral:rRNA from 1 species